rnacentral:rRNA from 1 species
AUUGAACGCUGGCGGCAGGCCUAACACAUGCAAGUCGAACGAGUGGCGGACGGGUGAGUAAUGCCUGGGAAACUGCCCGAUGGAGGGGGAUCACUACUGGAAACGGUCGCUAAUACCGCCUACCAUCGGUAGUGCCUAGAAGGGAUUAGCUAGUGGGUGGGGUAAAGGCUCACAUAGGCGACGAUCCCUGGCUGGUCUGAGAGGAUGACCAGCAAAACUGGAACUGAGAAACGGUCCGGACUCCUACGGGAGGAAGCAGUGGGGAAUAUUGCACAAUGGGGGCAAGCCUGAUGCAGCCAUGCCGCGUGUAUGAAGAAGGCCUUGGGGUUGUAAAGCACUUUCAGCGGGGAGGCGUUACCCGCAGAAGAAGCACCGGCUAACUCCGUGCCAGCCGCCGCGGUAAUAC